rnacentral:rRNA from 1 species
UACGUAGGGUGCAAGCGUUUAAUCGGAAUUACUGGGCGUAAAGCGUGCGCAGGCGGUUUGGUAAGACAGAUGUGAAAUCCCCGGGCUCAACCUGGGAAUGGCAUUUGUGACUGCCCGGCUCGAGUGUGUCAGAGGGGGGUAGAAAUUCCACGUGUAGCAGUGAAAUGCGUAGAGAUGUGGAGGAAUACCGAUGGCGAACG